AAUUCGCGCACAUUUGCAGCCGAACAAGAGAUGGCGCUUUUCUCCUCGUGAUUUAUUUAUUAAUUGUUAAUUGUUAAUCUCGAUAAUGAUAAUUACAAGUUAAUUGUUUACAUUUAUAUUACUCAACAUCUGCCUUAUGCUAUUAUCUCAUCACCAUCAGCAUCAACUUAAUUUCUCAACCUCUUCUUACUUUUAAAAGGCUUCUUUCCAUCUUUAAACUAAUCAUUAUCUCCUUUCAGACUUAAUCUUGAUCUUGUCUAUCAUCAUCAUCGAUGCCAAUAGCAUGAUGAGGAUGCAAAUGAUGAUUAAAACCUUAAUUGUAACCCUAAUCAAUUACAGUAGUUGAAAUAAAAAUGUGUUAUUAUCUAACAUCAAUAUUAUUAUUUAGUGGCCUUAAAAAUAUAAUAAUUAUUGUUUCAUUAUAAUAAUCAGAAAGCAGCUGAAAACACCUUAUAUUAUGUAUCUUGUGAUGAUAAUUAUAACGACAAUGACGAUAAUAAUAUUAUUAUUUAUGAUUAACCAGAUUUCCGGUUGGAUGAGUAGUAAUUUGAAUUGUGCAUCUUCACAAUUAGUGCUGAAGACGAUCAAGAUGAAGAUGAAGAUGAAGAUGAAGAUGAUAAUUAAUUGAAUCCAGUGACAGGUAAUAGUAAAUGUCUCUUAGAAUCCAUUGAAUGUCUCCAAUCAAAUGAUUGAAUGAAUUGUAAGGGAAGCAGAUGAAUUAAUGUUUACAUCUGAUUAUGGAUCAGAUACUUUUCUUACCUCAAUUAGUUUCCGAGGUAAUUUCAAUUUCCUCUCAUUAAUUUUAAUCAAAGUUGCGUUAAAUGUGUGAAUAGCUUUUAAUUACAGAGACCAAAAAGAGAGACAAAUUUAAAUUGUGUAAAUUGUCAAAAGAUAAUUGCUAUUAACUUUUUCUAAACUUAUUUAAGUUUCACUUUCGGACAAAAUGUUACCUGACAAUUAACUAACAACCUCAACCAUUUAGUUUGCUCUGAGUGUGUGACCAUUAAACUCUUAAUUGUGUCUGCUAAUUUUAAUAAUCUUUUACAUAGACUUUUAAUCAAGAUAAUGAUACUUUGUCCACUUAAAGAUGAUUACCAACUAGUAAAUUUAAUUAUUUCUAAUUGUAAACAAUUAACUUGACCAUCAACUUUUUCUCGUCUCGUUUAUUUCAUUAAUUAGCUAAAUUGUAAACAGAAAACAAUGUUAUUUGAUUUGGACAAUCAACACAACAAAAUCAACUAUGCAUAAGUUAAAUUAGAUACAAAAAAUUUUCUUAAUUGUGAUUAUCUAAUCAACAUGAAUAAAGUUAAUUUACUUGAAAAGUCAUUGAUUUAAUUUGAAAGGUUUCCUUGUAUUCAUUUCAUAUGAUAAAUUGUAUUUAAGAUGAAGUUUUUUUCUCACUAAUUGUUAUCAUUAGUAUCAUUUAUUAUUGUUAAUUGUAGUUGGCUUCAUAAUAUCAGCAUCAACAACGAUAGACAAGAACAAUUAGAAAACAACAAAGAUAAUUAACCAAUAAUGAUUAAAAUAAACGCAAGAGAAACUGAAAACAAUUAAUCAGCAUUAAGUAAAUAACAAUGAUCAUGAUAAGCAAUUUGAUUAACAAUGCAAAGAUUUCAGUGUUUGUUAAUCAAUUGAUGGCUCAUCACAAAUGAAUAUCAACUAAUUGUUGGUUUUCAUUGUAAUUUGAUCAUCAAUUAGAAAAUGAUUAACUCUGAUAUUUCAUCUUCUCUUCCAGAUCAUCUUAUCAGUUCAUCCGCCAUUUUCAUGUCAUUUGCAAACAGAGACUCAGGAAGAGAUGAAAUGAAUGGAAAGAAAGGGAAACAGAAAGAGCAAGAUGAUGAUGAUGAUUCCAAGGGAUGAAGAUGAAAAGAUGAGGAUGAAAAUGAUGAGGUAAAAGCAACUUUCCUAUAAGAAGUUAGGAAAUGCGCCGUUCAAGUCUCAUCUCUUUUAGCCUUAAUCUCUUAUUGGUGUUUCCAUAUUUUUUAUGUGCGAUUUUAUUUCUUACCUAUAAAUUGUUAUUCUCACCAAAUCGAUCAAAUUUCAAUCUUAUCUAAUUGUUGAUUCUGUUGUUCAACUACUGGAAACAUUGUAACUUCCAUUUCUCUUGUUAAUCAUUUUCCUCUGAUUAGAUAAUUUCAAUUUCCUUUUGCAUCCUCAUCAUCGUCCUUAUUAUUAUCUCCAUGUUCAUCACCAUGUAAUUCAUCAUGUUAUUUAUAUAAUUUAGAUGUUUGUUGUUGUGCUUCUGGUUAAUUGUUUGUUAAAUAUUAUCAAGUGUUGAUUGAUUGUUUCUCUCGUAUUGUUUAUGUUAUCAUCGUGAUUAGUUUACAACUAAUCAACUUUUAUUAUUUAAACUUUUUGUUUAUGUAACUUUUUUUUCUGAAGUGCAAUCAACUUUAAUGAAAGUAAUCAACAUAUUGUAACCAAUUCAAUUACCUGAAACUAAUCAAAUUACCGAUUUGUUUUACAAAAUCAAUUGCAAUGAAGCUAAAGAUGAGGGAUUAUAAUUAAAAACAGAAACUGAUUAGCUAAUUAUUUCCAGAAACAAACUGAAUUGUGCUCAUCCUUUGGCUCAUUUGUUUGAUAACAAGUUUUAAUCAGUCGAUUAAUAUAAUUGCAACUCAAGACGAUACCAUAAAUCAAUUGAACAAUUGAUGAUUUGUGCAAUAAACCGGGAAUACAAUCAACAGACAAUCAAUUUCAAACAUCAACAAUCAACAAGAACCAUUGGAACAGCUUUCGAGUUGAUUUAUAGUAAAAAAAACUUAUUACAUUUUAUAGGUUAGAUUAUCGAAGAAGGUAAAAAAUGGAAGAUAAAAAUUCUAUUCAAGGUUGAAUUCAAUCGAACGUAACAUCUUUUUCUCAUCAUCAUUAUCAUCUUUCUGUUAACAUGACCAUUUGUAUGUUACCUGAGUUCGCAAUAAGCAAAAGACAGAAACACAUUGAACCAAACCCUUUACCUGGCAAAGGUUCACAUGAGUGAUUAGUAAACGAUUGAAGAAUCAACAAGAUGAAAAAACAUGAGGCUUAACCAGUUUGCUUUUUCUCGUCAUCAUCGUCGUUAUUUUUCAUCAUUUCCUUUUCCAUCUCCUGUGAAAGUGAAGGCAACAAUUGUUUCAAUCAAGGAUAAUGUUAAUUCCUGUCGAUGACUAACCAGAAAUUCGUAAACAUGUAACUUCCGGAAGAAAAGGAGUAACCCUUUAGCUCUGGUAUAACCUUGGAUCUCACGGUUCUCAUUAAAAGAUAAUGAUUAUUACAUAAAAAA